rnacentral:tRNA from 9 species
GGGGCCAUAGCUCAGCUGGGAGAGCGCCUGCUUUGCAAGCAGGAGGUCGGCGGUUCGAUCCCGCCUGGCUCCACCA